rnacentral:rRNA from 1 species
UACAGAGGGUGCAAGCGUUGUUCGGAAUUAUUGGGCGUAAAGAGCGUGUAGGCGGCCUUACAGGUCAGCUGUGAAAACUCGAGGCUCAACCUCGAGACGUCGGUUGAAACGUAAGGCUAGAGUCCGGAAGAGGAGAGUGGAAUUCCCGGUGUAGCGGUGAAAUGCGCAGAUAUCGGGAAGAACACCCGUGGCGAAGGCGGCUCUCUGGGACGGUACUGACGCUGAGACGCGAAAGCGUGGGGAGGCGAACAGG